rnacentral:pre_miRNA from 1 species
GAAAUCAAGGGUGGGUAAGACCUUGUAGGAUAACUGGCAGGCGACCCAUACUUGGUUUCAG